rnacentral:rRNA from 1 species
UAGGGAAUCUUCCGCAAUGGGCGAAAGCCUGACGGAGCAACGCCGCGUGAGUGAUGAAGGUCUUCGGAUCGUAAAACUCUGUUAUUAGGGAAGAACAAAUGUGUAAGUAACUAUGCACGUCUUGACGGUACCUAAUCAGAAAGCCACGGAUAACUACGUGCCAGCAGCCGCGGCACUACGUAGGUGGCAAGCGUUAUCCGGAAUUAUUGGGCGUAAAGCGCGCGUAGGCGGUUUUUUAAGUCUGAUGUGAAAGCCCACGGCUCAACCGUGGAGGGUCAUUGGAAACUGGAAAACUUGAGUGCAGAAGAGGAAAGUGGAAUUCCAUGUGUAGCGGUGAAAUGCGCAGAGAUAUGGAGGAACACCAGUGGCGAAGGCGACUUUCUGGUCUGUAACUGACGCUGAUGUGCGAAAGCGUGGGGAUCAAACAGG